UGCGUAAAAGAAUUUUCGGUCUUUUAAUUUGAUCAAUCAAAAUUAGUUCUUAUUUAAAUCAUAUGUACCUUCAAUUCAUGUAAUUUUGACGAGCCUGCUUUCAAUUUUUGGCCUUGCCUGUGUCAUCUAGGAACUCAUCAUUUGUAUCGUAAACCAUAAAACUUAGCAAUCGAUAAGUAGAAUAAGGAAAAUUGUGUUUUAGUCCAAAAACCAAAAAACAAAAACCUUAGCCGCUCGCUUAUCUCUUUCACCAGUUAAUAAUGCCCUCGUCCGGCGGUGCCUAGACGCGGCGGUGGGUCUCAGGCCUUGCUGUCGUCGAAGGCUUUGUUGCCGGAUGAGAAUGGAAUGCUAUCAAUCGAGGUUUUGUCGAGUUCUAUCACUUAAUGGGUUGGUUUGAGGUAGUGGCGGAGCCAGAAUAAAAUAGUUACCCAGGCUAAUUGUGACACACAGAAAAAAAAAAUUCAACAAAUCUUUACAAUAUGAGAAACUUUCACGGAAAACUAACUAAAACAUACAAAACGAGGCCGCAAAACUUUAAAAUCUUAAACAUAACCUCAUUCUCAACCACUUUAACCAAUUCCUUGUCAAUGUGAAACACAUUUAAAUGAUAAGUUUUUAGAGCAAAUUGGGAAAAUCAACUCCACUGAUUUUCCAUUAGAAAUAAACCAGGGGCAUAGCAUAUUUAAGAUAGCUUAGCAUGCAUGAAAAGUAAUUUGUAGAACCUAACUAUCCAAAAUUGUUAUGUUCUGUCACUUUAGACUACUUAUAAUUAUUUUGCACACAUAUCAAUAUUUAACCAGUGAGCCAACUAUUUAUAUCUUGAUUAUGCGUGAAACAUAUGCCUCUCAUUAAGUAGCUAAAAGCAUAUUUUACUUAGACAAUCUCUACUUCCUCAUUAUAUAUAUAUAUACACACACACACACACGGAGAUCGAGGAUCUAAGGGCUGUGCGGACGUCCCUCCAUUCUCCUCCGUACGACUCCGACGACGACGUGUUUCCACCCCAGCGGCCUUCAGUAACGUCCCCGAUCACUUUUUCUCCCCGGUGAGUCCGCCGAAUUCCAGUUUUCCUGCGAGAUCACCCAAAACUUCAAACAAAAUCGAUCUCGUCGGAAAACUGGAAUUCGGCGGACUAGUCGGGGUGAAAAAGUGAUCGGGGACGCUGCUGGAGGCUGCUGGGGUGGAGGCGCCGCGUCGUCGGAGCCAUACGGUGGAGAACGGAGGCACGUCCGCACUUUAAGGGUGUGCGGACGUCUGCCUCUGAUCCCGACUGUACACACACACACACACACACUUAGACCAACCCCUACUUCCUCUCUUAAUUAUAUAUAUAGAUUAGUUUCAGUUUACACACCCCUGAGGUUUAAGGUUAACAUCAUUUCACUCCCCAUGCUUUUAAUUUAAUUUUGAAAAUUUACCUNNN
rnacentral:lncRNA from 1 species